rnacentral:rRNA from 1 species
UACGUAGGGUGCGAGCGUUAAUCGGAAUUACUGGGCGUGAAGCGUGCGCAGGCGGUUCGUUAUGUCCGUUGUGAAAGCCCCGGGCUCAACCUGGGAAUGGCAAUGGAAACUGGCGGGCUAGAGUGUGGCAGAGGGGGGUGGAAUUCCGCGUGUAGCAGUGAAAUGCGUAGAGAUGCGGAGGAACACCGAUGGCGAAGGCAGCCCCCUGGGCUAGCACUGACGCUCAGGCACGAAAGCGUGGGGAGCAAACAGG